rnacentral:sRNA from 1 species
UAGUUAGGAAUCCUGAACGCAUCCUGAG